GAAGGAUUCGCGGUCGCUCGUCGGAAACCACGUGGAACAGUCCUUCGACCACGUGGAUACCGGGUUUUCCCGCCAGUUUUCUCCCUCCUCGAAGUUCUCGGUUUUUCACCCUUCUUUUACUAGAUUUACUAAAUUUUAGAACCCGGUGACGUGUUCCGAAAGAGGGACUUCGAAUAGUGUUCGCUUUUUUCUGGUGUGAACGCUCUGUAGCAUCCGAAUUACAGAAUUUUGAAAUUGGUCCGUGCUGCGCGGCCUACAUGGAAUUUAGAAUUGGCUGUUGUUCUAAAUCGGUAUUCCUUCCUCCGCUUUUUGGUAAACUUGUCAGUUUAUUAAAGCGAUACAUGCAUUGGCUGUCUUGAAGUUUGUCUCGUUUCGCUGCAUGUUCUAACGUGGGUGCGCGUGUGGAAAACCAGGAGUUGACUGUUUCUUUUGACAGGUUCACGCAGGAUUGCGAUGAUUUGAAUUUCACCCGAACAGUGGGGCGACGUCGCAGUCGGGAAUGAACAGGCCAUUAGCUGUCGAAUUUAUGGGCUAUAACGAGGGGUUCCCGCGGCGGCAAAUGAGCAUUGCACCUGGAGCAGCCCACCACCCAGCAUGUUCCCAGGAGCGGCGCCCGACCCCGGCCUCGCCGCCAAAGUGACCGCCACCACCGCUGUCCUCCUCGCGGCCCUCGCCCUCCUCCGCCUCCCCGCCGCCGAGGCCCAGCUCUACAACAACCCCAACUUCCGCUGCCCCUACAAGCCCAUCUGCGCAAGGUAAGGAUCACAUCAAUUUUUGGUGACAACAUUCCUGUUAUUUUCACAUUCAUUCCGUAAGGUAAUAACGAUAGAAUUUCUAUUCCUUACAUACUAUCUGACCAUUGCAAUUUAGAGCAUGGUAAAACAUUUUCACCAGUGUCUUAUAUCUUAUAAAUUAGUUGUUAUGUGUAAAAACUAACGUUAAAUAUAUUUAU
rnacentral:lncRNA from 1 species